rnacentral:lncRNA from 1 species
UUUGAAUUUGAAUUAUAAAACAAGAUAUGUUGGUGGAAUGGUGGUGUUAUCUUCGUUAUUGAUCAUCUGGUCUUCCUUUUCUUUCAUAAUCUGCAUUCUCCAUUCUUUUACUUGAAUUUGUGAUGCAUAUAUAAUGAAACAGAGACUUCAUCACCACCUUCCAUCGAUUCCCCAACUUCCCAUAUGACUCAAUCACAUUAUGUCUUUUUCCUCACUUUGAAUGCAAUUGAAUCACAAGCCAUGAAUCCAUUUAAGAUACUUGUUGUUAUUUGUAAAUCGUAUCAUUACAAGAUGAUUUUAGGUAAAAUACCGUAACCAACACCUUUGGACUUCACAUAGACAGAGAAGAAGUUGAAGCCUUAAUCGAAUCCUAAGAUUAGGAGGAAGUCAAGGAACCUACCUAAUCAAAUUAAUCAACAUCAUUUGAAACUGAUCAAGGUUAGUUAAAUAGAAAAUACGUGAUCGAAAGUUGUGAUAAAUAUAUAUGAAGGUGAUCUCAAAAUGUUGAGGCUGGGAGAGAGAUCAAAUAAAACAUUUGAACAAGGUUGGAAAAAAGUGUCAGGACCUACCCCGGAUUUCCCCUUGAAAUCCGGAAUAAACCCUGCGGGACCCACUUCAAGGGAAAUUAUACCAAAUUUUUAGCAUAACCUCUCUUGAAAAUGGGUAACCCUACCUGAAAGAAACUCACCAAAAACCCAAACACUUCUAAAUCAAUUUAAUCCACAUCUUCUGGAGCCAUCCGCUCCACCAAAUAAUCAUCCACCACAUCACAAACAUAAUACCUCAAUCAAUCCCAUAAAUUGAUUUCUCAUACAAUCUCACCAAAUCAAUCUUUGAGUCAUAUGCUCUUAACACACAUCAUCAUAUAUUCAUUAAAACAUCUCAUGGUAAUCAGAGCAACUACUUGGAGGAAACGAGAAAAAUAUACAAGUAGGUUAAACUAGUAACCUACGAGAGAAAACCGGAUGAGGUGGAAAAUGUGACUCGCCUCCUACACUCGCCGAACCGAACUCUGCAGACUGGGCAAUUAAAAACAAAAGGCCCAGGGGAGAAGCAUUUAAAACGUUAGCGUGAGUGGACAAAAAUAAUUAAUAAUAAUAUUGACUUAAAUAUGGAGCAAUGAAAUCAAAGCGAUGCUCUCCCAAAUUUUCCAUUUGCGAUAAAUAUUUAUGCAUGCCACUCUUGGAAAAUCUUCAAAAAUAUUUAUGGACAAAAAUGAUGAACCAAUCCCAUUGGUUCCCAAUAAAUCAUAAAAUGGGGAAAAGGUUUCACCAUAACGAUGAGCCUCCCAGGCUAUAAUAGCGUCCCACACUAAGCGCUCUACUCACAUAGAUGAAGACCACUAAUAAAGUAAUAAUAGCGUCUCACGCUAAGCGCUCAACUUACAUAUGAUGAGGACCGCUAAAUACUGCCUAGCUAACAAUAAAUAUAUAUAUAUAUAUAUAUAUAUAUANN